CUGUGUUAGAGAGGGGAAUGCUUUUGUAGCUUUUUCUCUCUAAAAUCAACGCUAAUAUUAAGCAGAGGAAAUAUUAAUGAGUCGAGAUAUCGUUUCGGACGCUUUUUUUUCGUUUUUUUCUCCAUGGGCGAUUCGAUUGUUGCUCGACCACAU
rnacentral:snoRNA from 1 species